AUAUUAAUAAGCGGAGGAAAAGAAACCAACAGGGAUUCCCUUAGUAACGGCGAGUGAAGCGGGAUGAGCUCAAGCUUAAAAUCUCUGUGCAAGUUUUGCAUGGCGAAUUGUAGUCUAUGGAGGCGCUGUCAGUGCGACUAUGUGAGUUAAGUUCCUUGGAAGAGGACAGCAUCGAGGGUGAUACUCCCGUAUGUACCUGUGUAGUUGCGCGUACGACACGUUUUCUUUGAGUCGUGUUGUUUGGGAAUGCAGCACAAAGUAGGUGGUAAAUUCCAUCUAAAGCUAAAUAUUGGUGCGAGACCGAUAGCGCACAAGUA
rnacentral:rRNA from 1 species